rnacentral:rRNA from 1 species
UACGUAGGGUCCAAGCGUUGUCCGGAAUUAUUGGGCGUAAAGAGCUCGUAGGCGGUGUGUCGCGUCGGAUGUGAAAGCCCGGGGCUUAACCCCGGGUCUGCAUUCGGUACGGGCAUGCUGGAGUUCGGUAGGGAGACUGGAAUUGCCUGGUGUAGCGGUGGAAAUGCGCAGAUAUCAGGAGGAACACCGGUGGCGAAGGCGGGUCUCUGGGCCGAUACUGACGCUGAGGAGCGAAAGCGUGGGGAGCGAACAGG